rnacentral:rRNA from 1 species
UACGAAGGGGGCUAGCGUUGCUCGGAAUUACUGGGCGUAAAGGGAGCGUAGGCGGACAUUUAAGUCAGGGGUGAAAUCCCAGAGCUCAACUCUGGAACUGCCUUUGAUACUGGGUGUCUUGAGUGUGAGAGAGGUAUGUGGAACUCCGAGUGUAGAGGUGAAAUUCGUAGAUAUUGGGAAGAACACCGAUGGCGAAGGCAGCCAUCUGGACCGACACUGACGCUGAGGCGCGAAAGCGUGGGGAGCAAACAGG